GUUUCAUUUGGUGCUUGAAGAUUUCUUGUCCAAAAACUCUAAAUAUUGAUUUGUCUUUUCUCCCUUCUUGGGACACUAUUCAUGUUAAGACAAAAUUUUUCCUCUGGAUUUUGAAUCUUUUUUUUUUCAACAUUCAUUGCUCUAUUUUUAAUUAAUUCAUUUUUUGUAAGUUCCAAUGUAUUUUCUUUUUUGUAUCAAAUUUUAAAAAUAUUUUAUUUAUUCUUUGAAACUUUUAUAUAAUAAUGUAUUUUGAACAUUUUCCCCUUCCCCAACUUUUACCAAAUCCUUCCCUACCUUCCUACCCACGAACUCAAUGUUCUUCCUUUCUUAAGAAAACAAAACAAAACAAAACAAAAAACACCCCACCAAAAAAAUCCAGCAGUCUGAUUUGUGUUGGUCAGCUACUUCUGAGCACAGGGUCUGCCCCGGAGAGAGGUUGACAUACAGAGCAUUACUCCGUUGAAGAGGUAGACAUCUUUGAUAACAGUUGCCUUCCUUAGUCACUCCCUCAUUCAAGAGAAGGUUUCUCACUGAGUCUGGAGUAUACAGGCUGAGUAGACUGGCUGGUCCAGAGUGCCCCAGAGAUCCACUUGUUUCCACUGGGGUUACACACAUGGGCUACUUCACCUGAAUUUUGUUUUGUUUUGUUUUCUAAUCAUCGUGGGGAUUCCCAACUCAAGUACUCCUGCAUUUGUAGCAAACAAAUGCUUUAACCACUGAGACAUCCUCCCAGCCCAGACUGAUUAAUUAGAUUUUAUCUAAAUCUAAUUAUUAAAAAAAAAGUCAAAUUAAAGUAGCUCCUCUUUCACUCUUGAUAGAACUUCUGGGUCACUUUUAAAAGUUCUCUAUGUUCAGCCUCAUCCCAGGGUGUUCACUCGUGCCUCCUGCUCUUGGGGGACUAUGGCCUUCUGCUUUUGUUCUGGAAACUUCCUGGGACUUCAGGAAACCAUCCAAGUUCUCAGUGAAGCCCUUUGCUUAAGGGAUUGCUAGGGCCUUAACCUGGCAGAAGCAUCCCUGGUCCUGGCCUUCACUGUCUUCUCAGCGUGUGUCUCCUUUCAGAUCACAGGCAUAUGCUUUUCUUCCCUAGCUCUCAGCACUUUCAAACUUCUUCACUAUAGUAUUUCUCAGUCCUUCUGCUCUUACCAGGGGGUUUAUUCGGAAGCAUCGGAUGGAUGAGCUGUCUCCAGGAGUAGAAUCCCCAAAUACUGACUUUGAAAAAGCACGGAUCUGUCUUCCCUAGACCCAGUUGACCCUUACAAUGUUUUAAUUUUUUUAAUUUAUCGUUUAUCUUUGAGUUUUGAGUUUUAGUAUGUAGCCAGUGAGGCUUUGAACUCACCAUCCUCCUGCCUCAUCAUUCCUGAUGCUAGGAUUAAAUGUUUUUUGGUGCUGUACUUGUCUCUGAAAAUGAUGUUUGCAAAAGAUGUUUUCCAAGAGGCUUUUUUUGCAGUAGGAUGAUGUUGGAGAGGAAGGAGAAUAAGGGAAACCCUCAGAACAUGGAGAAGGUGGAAUUGAUCUGUGGUUAAUUUUUUGGAUGAAGGAUACAGAGGAUUCAAGGCUAAAGACCAAGAUGUGGGUCUCAGUGACUAGAGAGGUCAGUCACUACGGCAAGCAGAAGGAAGAGGAUAUGGAAAUGUAAUGUCAUUAGAGUCACAGAUUUUUUUUUUUUUACUUGACUUAUUUCUGUAAAAGUCUACCUGUGGGGUGGAUGGUAGUUCCAGAAAAACAACUCACAUAUGGAAGGAACCUGAAGAGACAUGUUGUCUGGAAGCAGUCAUCCUCAGCUGCAGGUAGUCUAGAACAAAUUCAGGAAAUAGCUUGCGCCUGUCAGUUAGUAUAUGUGACAAUUAGAACACUUCUGUAUUUGUAUGUAGGGCACUGGAAAGAAUUCUCAUACACUCUAUGGUUCUAGACAACAAAAAUAUGCUUCACUCUUGUGGAAGGUAGAAACCUGAGAUCAAAGUGUGGUGGAGCUGUGUUCCCUGUGAAGGCUGGAGGUCAGAGUCCUUCCCUGCCUCUUCCUACAUCUUUAUGGCCACUGGAAAUCCUUGGCAUUCUUCAGUUGGCAGGCUAAUUCCUUGAUCCGCCUUUGCCUUUAUCCCAUAUGCCCUUCUUCUGCUGUGUUCAGCUCUGUGUCUUUCUCCAGCCCUUUUAGAAGAGGACUAUCACUGAGUUUAGUCCCCACACUCCAAACCCAGUAUGAUUCUACUUCAGCUACUUAUAUUCAAAGGGACCCCCUUCUCAAAGUUAGGUCAUGCAAGUCAAAUCAACAAACAGUGUAUUCCUUGGACUCUAGCUUCUGGCAAAGUACUGCCUGAGGAAUAAAGGGUACCGCCAAACUCAGUCCCUGCCCUAGACAAGCCUGCCAGCCUAAUGGAGGAGAGCAGGGUGGACCAGGAUUAGAAAAUAAACUAAUUGUUUAUGGACCACUGCUCUCAGGCCAGGUUCUGUGGCAGGUGCAGUGUUCAUACUGACGCACGCAGAGUCACUGGAAGAACUUGUUGGUAAGACAGAUAAGGAAACCAAGAACCAGGGGAGUCAUGACUGGCAUUGAAUGCAGACUUGUGUGCUUUAUUCUGAAGCUUGGAGUUUCAGGGAACAAAUUGAUGUCUGU
rnacentral:lncRNA from 1 species